GUAAGAAUAAAACACUGCUCAAGUCAUACUCUCAAAGUCCUACUCAAAUUCCACUGCUUUCUUUAAAGGAUAUGUUAAAACAAAAGUGAAUAUAUACAACAGAAUACCAAUCUGAUCUCAAACUUUCUCUGAAGAUUUUGAAUGUGCAGUGCUAGGACUCUAUCCUGUGAGUUUUAAAAAGUGUAAAUCUUCAUUUUAAUUUCCUCUCAUUUUGUCUUUGCUAUUCAUUCUUUUACUUUUAUUUGGAAGGAGAAUUACUUGUAGCUUAUAAAUUCCAAAGCUGAGGGGCACCAUUUAUAAAUAAAUUACAGUGGGUUCAAUCUGUUGGGGAAUAAAUAUUUUUUCUUGAUGAAAUAUUCAUUUAGAAAUACAAUGAAUACAGUUCAUACUGUAAUGAAAAAUUAAAGUUAGAGCUAUUAUUAUGAAAAAUUCUUACUUGUAUACAGAUAUCAUUUGGAAUAUAAUUAGACUAAACUCAGCAAUAAGAAAUAGUUUGAAGGCUAAAGAUCAGCCAACAUACACAUAAAUUAUUUAGACAUUUUUCACAGGAGGUAUAAUUCAGUUCCUCAAAGUACCGCCUUUUUUCUUGAACAUAAUAAUUUUCAUUAUGCAAUUGUGUGUUGUUUUUUUUAAGAAUACACGUGUAUGCGCGCACACAGACAAAUACGAUUUCUUGGUUUCUUGUGAAGGAAAAAACAUACCUAGCCAUGGAGCAAACAUUGCAUUUACCCCCAACAGAGGUACAGAGGAUUAUGGAGGGUUAAAAAAUAAAUUCAGGCUCAGUGGUUGUUGAGAUCUGCUAGAGACUGGGAGGCUGGUUGCAGCUCAGUCCGGGGAACAAUAGGUACCUGUAUUCAACAUGGACCACUGAGCAGGGACCAAGCAAUCUGGGGAAAGCUUUGCCUAUGCUGAGGCUUUCUCUCCGGGAGAAUGCAUAAUGAGAGCUCCACUUUCCCGUGGAGCGGAAGCGAGGAAGGCGAGAAGGAAUCCCGGCGCUUGCAUGAGGAGGGGCCGACUGAUCUUUAAUCGUUUCUAGCCAGCCUUGACUUGGCCUGAACGUGAGGUUCUCGGUCUAGAACUCGGCGGGCAGCCUUUCCACUUGGUACUUCAGUCAGACACUAUCGCCGCAGAAGAAGCAGCACAUGCCGCUUCUCGCCUCUUCCAGACAGGCGCGCGCGCGCUCACGCCUCCUCCCCCCCCCCCGCUGGUCUGAGCAGGCAGCUUAAGUGUCACCGCUAUAACCGAGCCCAGUGCAGCACCCGUCGCCAUGGUGUGAAGAGGGGGGCUCGGGAGAUGACAACAACGAAGGAGCUUCGUUCGGCUUUCAAGUUGGGUUCAAAAGAUGUAACAGGACGUCUUCCAACUAAAUGUACAGUAAAAAUAUUAUAUGAAUGAGAACCCUGGACUGAGAUGAGAAUAUAAAGAACAAGAUUGAAUAUUCUGAUCAACUAGAGAAAUUCUUUUGAAAAAAAGGAAGAUCUGGAGGUUUGUCGAUCCAGUACAUGGCAAAUGGCUCUUACUGAUGCCCUCCAUCAGUAGAUACAUUCUCUAAGAAAUUACUCUUGUCCCCACUACCAAGAGGGUUCUUCAUCACUCUGUAGCCUGCCUGUUUUCAAAAGGAAUACGUUUGCUCACUUCACUUGGAACUUGUGACUCUAUAAAAGAGAAGCUUUAGUUGGUUGAGGAGAAAAGUUAGGACAUUCACAGUCAUUCUGCAGUGAUUUCCUAAAGAAGUGGAUGAUUGAUCGUGCCCGCCAGCUGCCUAAUAUCAUAAUUAACAAAGUUGCUACCGUGUCUGAGAAGUUUAAUCGAAAAAAAUUGCCAACAGUGUGAUGCUGUUGUUACCCAUAAAGAUCAGAAGCAGGGCAAAGUCGACUUUUGGACUAAUGGAGCUGCAGAACUAUGUGGGCAGAAUAAGAAGUAGAGCACCUGAAUGGAUAAUGUUACCACUGAACCCAUUGAUCAAGAGAGCUUGAUUCAGAAAAAGAAGUGGUCUUCCCAGGCAUGUGGUUUAAAAUUCUUGCUGCAGGCAUUUUGGACCUCUGAAACCUCUGGGAGAUGAAGUGUAGGAAGAGACACUGAAGGAAGAUGAAAAGUUAAUCCAACUGAAUACAAGAGGCUAAUAAUGGAGUCAGUAAAAGCCAGUGCCAUGAGAGUUAUCUCAUGGCCUCAGAUGCUGGAUAAGUUGAAGAAGGCAGAAAUCACUUCUGGAUGACAUUCAGGUCUGAAUGAUGAUUUGAAGAAGAAAAGACUAUUAUUUCCAAGUUCCAGCAAUAUAUUCCUGAAACAAAAGAUCCACUCCAGACUCUGCCACACCUAAAAGGAACCUUUGAGGAAAUUGCCAGGCUUGAAUACGAUGAGAGAAUUACCCACAAAGCAGAAAAUGAAAAAAGGCACAUAGAUACUUUGGAUAUUUCUGUAAAGUGCCAAAGACCUGGUUCAGAAAUGGUCUCACAAGGUCCACUGACUCUCAACAAAACCUGAGAAGGAAUUGUUCCAGUUAAGUGAACGAGGUAUCAAAUUUCAGAUGAACUGUCUACUUUUGUCAGUAUUAGAGUCACGCUGCACAAUAUUCAAGGACACAUCUUUACUUCACCAUGUUGCCUUUCAUUAUUGAAGUUGUGUAAUUAACCUGAAGAUAAAGAUGCCAUGCAACUUAUACGCCAUCAAAGUUAUUCCUGGAAUGCCUAACAGAAAAUCACUACCACAGAAAUUUUGUGGCCAUCUGCUAAUUUAUUACUUUUUAUAUUUGCAUAGAAUGAUGGGAGGAAUCAGGACAGGCCUUGCAUUAGAUUGAUUGAUCUGAUCAUUAGAUGAUGAUGCGGAAGGACAGGGCAUUGCUCCAAAACCAAGCUCAUUUGUUUACCUGUUUAUCUACCAGCCAGCAGCAGUCUGCCACUCCUUCUGCUAACAGGUUCCUCCCACACUCCCUGCUAAGGUCAGUGUGUUCUAGAAUGACAAACUAGGCAGUGAUAUUCCUUUAAUCCUCUUUCAGCCUAAAAUUCUUUGUUCUGAAUAUUUCUUCUCAAUGAGGCAUUGAGAACCAGGUAUAAAGCAGCACAGAUGACUAGUUUCCACUAUGCCUUGUACUGAAUACUUGGCAAAUGUCUGGUUGACAUUACCCUGUCACAGCUAAGAACGAUAGAUUAUUAUAUAUUAAUAUUAAUAAUAGUAUAUUACUAUUACAUUUUAAUACAGACUCUUCUGAAAUAAGAGUCAUUUUCAUUUCUUCUUUUCCCAUUAUUACAUCUGUGCAUACAGUUUAUCAGUUAAAAUUCCUUCUGUGUGGAAUAGAACAGAAUUUGCAGCUAUGAUAUUUUAUCGGGAGAUACUCUCUUGAUGUGCUCUAAUGAUGUCCAUGCCAUGGAAAGGAAAUCAGUUGAAGAGGCUUACAUUUCAACAUUGCAUCAUGAGUAUAACGUAUCCUGCAUAUUGUUUGUUUAAACUACAUAAGUGUAAGCCAGGAACACCAGUAAGUGAAAUAACAUAGUACACUCAGUUCUGAGAAUAGCAGUGUAAUGAGGAACCGUGCUUUAUAGCACUGUUUACUUGUUAUUUGCUAUCAUAGUGAACUACAAUAAUUUAUGACCCUGGAACUUAGCUGUGCAAUGACCUUGAAGAACUGAGAAAGUGGGGAGAAUGUUCUUUUUGAAGAAAUAAAUACAAAUUCAAAGCAGUCAACCCUAUCUAUAUUCAAGAUAUAAAAGCAUUUAUAAUUUGCCCAAGCUAUUAUGAGAUAAUAUACUUUGAAAAAAGUUGUUUUAAAACUAUGAAGAAUGCCCAAAUAACCACAAUUAUUAUAAGCUGUUAUAAAUAGAUACUAUAGAUAUUAUUUCAAUUAAGAAAACAUAUUUAAUAUGUACUACUUGUGAUUGAAAAAAAUACAUAAUGUUCAAAGCCUAGAUCUCUCUCUCAUGAGCCAGAUUUUAAAACUCAGAUUGCUUUUCAGCUUUCUAAAAUCUCUUCCCUAAAAUACUGUCUGCUCUCUUAUGUAUUUAAUAAAUAUAGCUACUAUUCACUUUUGGAUUGUAAACUAUUUUCUCCCAUUAUCUUUAAAUCUGUAAUAUAACUUUGAAAUAAAUAUAUUUUAUUAAAUCCA